rnacentral:rRNA from 1 species
AUUUGUCCGCCAGAAGAUUACGGGCGAAAGCCUAAAAUUCAAAAGACUUGACGGUGUCUCAACCCUGCCUAGAGGAGCCUGUUCCAUAAUCGAUAAUCCCCGAUCAACCCGACCACCCAUUGCCAAAUCAGCCUAUAUACCGCCGUCACCAGCUUACCCUUUGAAAGAACAACAGUAAGCAAAAUAGCCCCUUAAGCUAAAAAGUCAGGUCAAGGUGUAGCUAAUGGGGUGGAGGAAAUGGGCUACAUUUUCUAAGAUAGACCAUUCUCAACGAAAUACUGUUCUGAAACCAGCGUAUGAAGGAGGAUUUAGCAGUAAG